UUUUGUUGAAGAUUAAGAUUUUGUAUUGCUCAAUUUAAGUUCAAUAAGUAACAUAGAUCACAAAGUUUGCUAAUUUAUAUUGAUGCUUUAAGACUCCUUACAUGACGUUUCCGCAACACACCCGAGGUCAAAGUUCGUAUAUAUUAAAAUGCAACAAUGUGUAUAGUUCGUUAUUGAGGAUAAUGUAUAGAUUAUUUUACAUAGGGAAAGAUAUUUAUACGCUAUAGUUAAUUGUAACUGUUUAAUUUCAACUUAUGUUUACAUUAAAUGACAUCCUUAAGCCAACUUUACUAAUAUUGAUCGCUAUUUUCGUGUUAUACAUCUAUAAUCAUCUUGUUGUUAAAGAUUUGAAGCUUUGCUGCGAUAAUACAGCAGAGAAUUAUUCUCAUUAUGAUUUGGUCGUUGGAAUACUUUCAUCGCGCGGCAACUUUGAUUUGAGGCAAAGUUUACGUGAAUCAUGGGUUGGCUAUGCAAGACGACAUUCAUCUCUAAAUAAAAGGCUCUCGGCGACUUUAAGUUUUUCCUUUGUAAUGAAAACUGACGAUGAUUGUUUUGUUAACCUGGAGACCAUCUUACAGCAAUCCAGUAUCAGACUCUCUUAAAUUAUUUGCUGAAAAUGAAAUGAUGCUUACCGUAUCAUGGCAAUGAUAGCGAGACGAAACUUGGCGUAAGUUAUUUCCUUUGGGAAAUUCAAACUACCGAAGACACUUGCCUUUGUACAUAUGCAACAUAAUAUUUGUACAUAGGUAAACUGAACAAGAAUAAAAAGAAAAACAUUCAAAAGAUAUAGUGCGAGAAAAUUAAAUAAUGGACAAACGUAGCUACUAAUGCUUCGGCAAAUUUUCAUUAAAAAGUACCUCGAAAAGCCGUUAUGAAAA